rnacentral:rRNA from 1 species
CAGCCGCCGCGGUAACGCGAAGGGGGCUAGCGUUGCUCGGAAUGACUGGGCGUAAAGGGCGCGUAGGCGGUUUUGACAGUCAGAUGUGAAAUUCCUGGGCUUAACCUGGGGGCUGCAUUUGAGACGUCAAGACUAGAGUGUGAGAGAGGGUUGUGGAAUUCCCAGUGUAGAGGUGAAAUUCGUAGAUAUUGGGAAGAACACCGGUGGCGAAGGCGGCAACCUGGCUCAUUACUGACGCUGAGGCGCGAAAGCGUGGGGAGCAAACAGGAUUAGAUACCCGGGUAGUCCCUGUCUCUUAUAC